AACCCCACAUAUUUUGUUUUGUUUUGUUUUUUGGCUUUAAGUCAAUUCAAGUUGGCUGUUUUUAUGACAAGCAACAGUGUCCUAACAGGUGUGAGCAGUAUUUUUAGGGAGUCAGACAACAUAACUGCGGGGCACUAAGCAUCAGCCCAUGCCCUAGAGUUACAGUGUAUCAAGGUUUUAUCACAUGUUAAUUCUGGCCUCUCCUAUAGGACCUAUCAUCCUCUUGUUAUCUGCUAAUUUGAUCACUGUAUACAUUUUGCAUCUCCAAGUUGUUGAAAACACUGACAGGAUAGCCUAAGUGUAGAACCUACAGUCCAGAAGAAGAAAUACCUCCUGGCUGACACAGUGCACUCACUCAUUCACUGAUUCACUCACUCCUUCAUUCAUUCAGUAUCUAUUGAGUCCUACUACGGGUCAGUCAUAGUUCUAAUUAGACUUGUGUGACUAUUAACCAACCAGCUACACUCCCAGCCAGACUCUGGUCCCAAAUGUCUCCUUUUCAGACAAAAACACAUUAGGACGUUUUGGUCAGCACCCAUAUGAAGUCCAAAUACACUGGAAUUAAACACUCCCUCGACCCACAGUCCCACAGGAGCGCCCCGUCACUCGGCCACAGAGCCGAUGGCUGCUUCACCUCCCCACCGGCUGUGGGUGUCGGCUGCAGGUCUGACACUGGCUCACUGCGCUAGAGUUUCCCGAAUCCAUCCCUCUGGAAACUGGCAUGGUUCUGAUGGCCUAUCCAUCACCCUCUGUUCUUCCUCAAAGACACAGCCUAUUUCUAUGAUCACAUUAGCAAGUCCUUUCCACACUCUGGCACAACCCAUCUGGGUGUGGACACGUAGGUUCACGUAAUGGGAUUUGUCACACGUGGUCAGCACCUGCUAUGUGGGAGAACCUCCUAGAACCUCCCCACACACCCUUCGCUUUGCGGCCCUCCUGACUGUUCCCCAUCAGACCCCUCCACCUGAGGUAAAAGUGGCAAUCCAGGACUCAAGGCACCAGUGGUCUGGCUACCACCUCGGUCCCGCCCCGGGUCACAUGGGGAGCUCUUCUUUGAUCUUGUGCCACAUGGACAUUUAAAGCCGCGUGUGCUUUUCUGCACAUUUCCGCCUGUUGGUUUCUGGGCCCCUCCCUGGCUUUGUUUCCCUCCCUCCCGCCUAAGCCCACGUCCCUUGUAAGUCUGAGAAGAAAGCUCCACACAUGGCCAGAACUGCCUGGCCCCCGCCCCUUACAGGAAGUCCGUCUUCUUCCUUCUUCCUCCUGAUAUCUGCUUGCCUCAUUUCUAGGUUUUGAAUCUCUUGGUUUGGGAUUGGCAGCUCCAGGCCCCCAGGAGGGUGAGCUGAGGGUGAAGCAGGCCCACAGGAGGGUGAGCUGAGGGUGGAGCAGGCCCACAGGUGGGGCCCGCCUGUGCAGAGAGUACUCAGCCUUGGUCCCCUGAGAUGCAGGAGCUUGUUCAUCUGGUGGAGUUGAGGCCAUGAUCAUCCCUCACGGGCCGUCUUCCUAAGGCUAUCUGAUCCUGCCUCUCCCAUCUCCAACAUCAGCAGACACCGAAUUAUAGUUCUAGAAGGGUGGUCGGGGAGGCGCCUGGGAACUCACCCGGCCCAGCAGUUGCACCUUUGAUUAGCAGAAUCACCCGGACAGCUUUUCCUGUCCCCACUCCAGAGGCUCUGAGUCACGAGGUCUUGGGUGGGCCUAAGGCACCUGGAUCUACAAAAAGUGCCCCCAUCCCCCAUGACUCUGCUGAUGAACUGCACAGGGGCUCCCCCUCACCUAUGGGGAAGCCGGCACCUUGCAGGUUUCAGGGCACACUGCAGGGAGCCUGCCCAGGCCCCAGCCUCCAGCAGGCACAGCCAGCAUUUCCAGUGCCUGGGGCUGAACUGGCUUGGAAGCCUGGGCUCCGAGCUGCUCACUCACAACCCUCGCCAAUACAGCCUGAAUUUAUUAAGCAAUGGGCUCUUCCUGUCAGGCGAAUAAACAGAUGCACAAGCAGAUACAGCAGUAAAGAAUAAACCGUAGGGGCAAUAACAAUCUCUUUGUAAUUUCUCUUUGGGGUGGGCUUUAUGAUGUUGCUGUGUGUGCGUGUGUGUGUGUGUGUGUGUGUGUGUGUGUGUGUGAUAAAUAAGCAAAAUUGUUUUCCUGGGACUCCAUCCAGGAACAUUAGAUAUGGGGUCCAGCCCCAGCGCACAGGAAACCCUGCUCAGGCAGAUGGUGUGGGAGAGCGAGGUUGUGCUUUGAUGCAUGGGGUAGAGGAACCCUAGGAGGCACUGAGACCUCGGUGGCUGUCCCAGGCUCUGUCCUCCCUGCAUAUGGCCUCAGGCAGCUCAAGGCUUAGCUUCCCACUGGCCUCCUCCCUCCCGGACACUCACGCAUUUCAGGUCUGACGGGUACCCGCCACCCAAUCCCUCUUUCUUUUGACGGGUACCCGCCACCCAAUCCCUCUUUCUUCUGAUGUCGACAGGAUCAAGCACAAGCCUCCUUGGCAGGGAUGAGGGGUCCUCAGGUCUGGCUGGGCCCACCUGGCUGCUUCCUGGUCUCUACCACAUGCCCCAGCCUCACCCCACGGCCCGCCCAGCACCCGCCAGGCAUGCAGUGGCCCCUCUCUUCUCCUCGACAACUGCGUGCUGUUCCCGGCAGACCCUUGCGUUUCCUGUUCUCUGCCUGGAAAGCCAUGUCUUGUUCUCCACGCCCAGUUCUGAUGUCACCUUUCUCACACCCAGGAGUCCUCUGUGACCUGGGAGGGGGCCCACUCCCCCUACCCUCAGCGCUGGGCACUGGCUUGUGAUGGUCUCCUGGCCACAUGGGGAGCUCCUCGAGGGCAAGGCCUGGGAACAUCUGGAGUCAGUGAACACAGCAGGAAGGGGGGAUGGUCAAGCGCACCACAGGCUUGGAAGCAGACACGCCCAGUUCAAGCCCCACUCCAGCCCUCCUCAAGUGGGUCACUCCUCACGGCCUGUGAGUUCACCUCUUCAUCUGAGCUCGCUUCAGAUGACGCCCCCAGUGCCAGCAUAUCAUCCAAACGCCUACUUCCCACUUCUGGGAACUUCUCGCUCCCAGAUUCAGAAACUGUCCUGGGGCACCAGCAGUGACUUGAGCAGGGGAAGAGUGGGGCCAAGCCUGGCCUCCAGAAGCCAUCGGCCUCCAGAAGCCGUCAGCCUCCAGAAG